AUACGGAGGGUGCAAGCGUUAUCCGGAUUCAUUGGGUUUAAAGGGUACGUAGGCGGAUAGAUAAGUUAGUGGUGAAAUCCCGAAGCUCAACUUCGGAACUGCCAUUAAAACUGUCUAUCUUGAAUUUGGUUGCAGUGGGCGGAAUAUGACAUGUAGCGGUGAAAUGCAUAGAUAUGUCAUGGAACACCGAUAGUGAAGACAGCUCACUAAGCCAAUAUUGACGCUGAGGUACGAAAGCAUGGGUAGCGAACAGGAUUAGAUACCCCGGUAGUCC
rnacentral:rRNA from 1 species